AUUUAAAUAGUUUAACGGAAAAUUUUAACUUGUGGUGUUAAAGAUAUGCUUAGUCAUUUUAGAUA
rnacentral:tRNA from 1 species